AUAUAUCGGAACGUACCCUGGAGUGGGGGAUAACGUAGCGAAAGUUACGCUAAUACCGCAUACGAUCUAAGGAUGAAAGUGGGGGAUUCGCAAGAACCUCAUGCUCCUGGAGCGGCCGAUAUCUGAUUAGCUAGUUGGUGGGGUAAAGGCCUACCAAGGCAUCGAUCAGUAGCUGGUCUGAGAGGACGACCAGCCACACUGGAACUGAGACACGGUCCAGACUCCUACGGGAGGCAGCAGUGGGGAAUUUUGGACAAUGGGCGCAAGCCUGAUCCAGCAAUGCCGCGUGAGUGAAGAAGGCCUUCGGGUUGUAAAGCUCUUUUGUCAGGGAAGAAACGGUGAAGGCUAAUAUCCUUUGCUAAUGACGGUACCUGAAGAAUAAGCACCGGCUAACUACGUGCCAGCAGCCGCGGUAAUACGUAGGGUGCAAGCGUUAAUCGGAAUUACUGGGCGUAAAGCGUGCGCAGGCGGUUUUGUAAGUCUGUCGUGAAAUCCCCGGGCUCAACCUGGGAAUUGCGAUGGAGACUGCAAGGCUAGAAUCUGGCAGAGGGGGGUAGAAUUCCACGUGUAGCAGUGA
rnacentral:rRNA from 1 species